rnacentral:ribozyme from 13 species
AAGAUGUCCAAAAACGUUUGAUCGUCUGCAAACGGAAAGAAUAAAAAAAAUAGUUCGAACUCUCUUUUUUGGUUGUUUUUCUCGGUUUUGUUUUUUGUUUUUUGAGAGAAGAAAGAGAGAGAGACCUCAUGGCUUCUUCCGCUGUUACUAUUAAAG